UUUUGGGCUUGCAUACAGACUGCUGCCACGCUGGCUGGCUAGGUCGCUCUGGUAAAAUCUCACUACCUCAACAUCCACAUCUAUUUACUUCUCACAGAAGUUGUAGUCCCAACUCAAUUAAAAAUCAAAGCUGGCUUUGGAGUUGGUAUAGCACAAAAAAUAAAAGAUCCAGAGACUGUAUUGGGGUUCAAGCUUCAAGCUGAAGAUCAGAAAAGCAAAGUAGUCAGGCACUAGCUCUCACUCUACCUCAGACCGAAAGGCAAUCCUGGGUCCACCAAACCUCAGGUUGCUACCUCUCCUCAGCAUGGCUGGAGAAUCCUAAGACUUCAAUGUCUUCCUAUCCUCAAUGUGGCUGGAGAAUGAAUGCCUGAUACUGACUAUUGAAGACCCUGCUCCUAUCUUUUAUAUCCCUCUAGUGUGAUCCCAGGUGCUGAGAUCAUCUUUGUGUGAGCUGUUUCUCUUUAGGACUGAAUCAGGCUUGUGUAGAUCUGGGUGGCCUUGGACUCACAGAGAUCAGUUUACCUCUUAAUCCUGAGUCCUAGGAUUAAAGGUGUGUGCUACCACUUCCUAGU
rnacentral:lncRNA from 1 species